UCUUUUCUUUUGAUAGGAGAGUUUUUAAAAUCAGUGUUAUUUUUGUAAGUUUAAGAGAAGUUUGUGUAUUGAAUUUUUUAUUUUUAAUAUUAAAGAGCUUUGUUAAACUUAGACUUAAGUUUAGGUCAUUUUGGGGGUUUAGCUCAGUUGGCUAGAGCAUCGGCUUUGCAAGCCGAGGGUCAAGGGUUCGAGUCCCUUAACCUCCAUUGGGCUUAUGUCCUAAAUCGUAAUUAAGUAUGUUUUUAAGUAACUUUGUUAAAGUAAUUGUUGGAAUGUGAAACAGAGGAAGUUAAAAUUUCUGGGUUAAGUUGAGAUCUGUUGAUAUUAAGAAGAAUCUCUAGAAGCAAAAGCAAGCUUUCGAUAAAACCUGAAGUUGUUUCGCUAAAGUGCAAGGAUUAAACAGGAUUGUAUUUUCCAGUAGCCUAUUUUAUAAACGAUCUGCAUUUAGUAAAUAGUUUUUAGUUAAGAAAUAAUGUAGAUUGCUAAGUGUGAUGCCUGAAAGAAGGACAAGUAUUGUAGCGAGCCUAAAUCCUUGUUAUCGUUGCCAGUAUUUAGUGGUAGGGAUUCGGAUAAGACUGCCAUUUAUAAGUUGGAGGAAGUCAAAGAUUGCAUUAAAUCGUUAUUGCUCUUAUGUUUUAGGUUACAAGUUUGCCACAAUAACCCAAAAAAGCUAAGCAAAAUGCUAUAAAGCAGAUUUCAGUUUGGAUUUGCCCGACACUCAAUGGCAUGAAGUUGUAAUUGUUAGUAAUCG
rnacentral:tRNA from 1 species